UAUAAAGACAACCAGUUCAAUUUCAUUUCAAUUGAUAAGAUGCUAUUUAUGUAUGAUGCUAAGAUAAACAUGCAUAUAAAAAUACACACAAUCAAAGUGCAGCAGUACCAUUAAUCAAUGCUCAUAAUCAUCAUAUAAAGCAACAGAGUCAUAAUAAAUCAGGUAUCAAAUGUUUUGCACUCGUCGGUUUCAGGGUUAUCCUUACAGUAAUCCUCCAAGGGGUCAGAAUCCUUCUUCCUAUCCCUUGCAUGACUCGCUGCAGCACUGAGUUCCUCCACUUCAUCCCAUGCUGCUACGCAUUCUCCACUAACUGGGUCAUCAGCACACGUCUCUUGUGCACUCUUUAUGCUCUCUUCAACCUUCUUUGAUAUCUGUUCUGGUGCAGCACGAACGGGUCGAACCACCGUCAUCCGACCCGAUCCGGCUACACCCCACCGUGUCUGCAGUGGUGUUGCUGGUGAGAUCUUGAUGGUUUGUGGGAAUCCUGAUGAGUUGAAG
rnacentral:lncRNA from 1 species